CCUACGGGUGGCAGCAGUGAGGAAUAUUGGUCAAUGGACGCAAGUCUGAACCAGCCAUGCCGCGUGCAGGAAGACGGCUCUAUGAGUUGUAAACUGCUUUUGUACGAGGGUAAACGCAGAUACGUGUAUCUGUCUUACAGUAUCGUACGAAUAAGUAUCGGCUAACUCCGUGCCAGCAGCCGCGGUAAUACGGAGGAUUCAAGCGUUAUCCGGAUUUAGUGGGUUUAAAGGGUGCGUCGGCGGUCGGAUAAGUUAGAGGUGAAAUCCCGAGGCUCAACUUCGGAAUUGCCUGUGAUACUGUUCGGCUAGAGAGUAGGUGCGGUAGGUGGAAUGUAUGGUGUAGCGGUGAAAUGCUUAGAGAUCAGACAGAACACCGAUUGCGAAGGCAGCUUACCAAGCUACUUCUGACGUUGAGGCACGAAAGCGUGGGGAGCAAACAGGAUUAGAUACCCGGGUAGUC
rnacentral:rRNA from 1 species